CCCUCUGGGACGUGGUUGAAAAUCCCUGGUGUCUAGUUUUCAGGGUCUUCCAAGAACUCUAACGAGCAGCCCAGCUGACGACCGCAGGCCAUUCCUAUAUAUUGACACUAUGCUAACACAUGUUUAAACCAUCCAGUUAUUCUAUAAUCAGGGUAAUAUCCCUAGAGAUCCAAAAUUCGGUGGCACUGGGAAUUCCAUUUGUCUAAGCCACAGCCCUUCUUUAAUCAGCCAAACUGUGUUUGAUGGGUCGUCCCAUGCCAUUCCCC
rnacentral:lncRNA from 1 species